UUCCGGUUGAUCCUGCCGGACCCGACUGCUAUGGGGGUGGGACUAAGCCAUGCGAGUCAACACCCCAGGCAAUGUUGGGGUGUGGCGUACGGCUCAGUAAAACAUGGCUAACCUACCCUAGAGAUGGGGAUAACCUCGGGAAACUGAGGAUAAUCCCCAAUAGGGGAAGAGUGCUGGAAUGCCUCUUCCCUCAAAGGGUGUCAAGAACAUGCCUCUUGACACCGCUCUAGGAUGGGGCCAUGUCCCAUCAGGUAGUUGGUGGAGUAACGGUCCACCAAGCCUAUAACGGGUACGGGCCGUGAAAGCGGGAGCCCGGAGAUGGGCACUGAGACAAGGGCCCAGGCCCUACGGGGCGCAGCAGGCGCGAAACCUACACAAUGUGCGAAAGCACGAUGUGGUCACCCCCAGUGCUACCCGCUAAGGGUAGCUUUUCCCUGGUGUAAGAAGCCAGGGGCAAUAAGCGGGGGGCAAGUCUGGUGUCAGCCGCCGCGGUAAUACCAGCUCCGCGAGUGGUCGGGGCGUUUAUUGGGCCUAAAGCGUCCGUAGCCGGUCUAGCAAGUUUCCAGCUAAAGCCCAAGGCUCAACCUUGGGAAGGCUGGAAAUACUGCUAGACUAGGGGGCGGGAGAGGCUGGGGGUACCUCUGGGGUAGGGGCGAAAUCCUAUAAUCCCAGAAGGACCACCAGUGGCGAAGGCGCCCAGCUGGAACGCGCCCGACGGUGAGGGACGAAAGCCGGGGGAGCGAAGGGGAUUAGAUACCCCCGUAGUCCCGGCCGUAAACGAUGCGGGCUAGGUGUUAGGUGGACCUUGAGUCCACCUAGUGCCGCAGGGAAGCCGUUAAGCCCGCCGCCUGGGGAGUACGGCCGCAAGGCUGAAACUUAAAGGAAUUGGCGGGGGAGCACCACAAGGGGUGAAGCCUGCGGUUUAAUUGGAGUCAACCCCGAGAACCUUACCGGGGGCGACAGCAGGAUGAAGGCCAGGCUGACGACCUUGCCAGACGAGCUGAGAGGAGGUGCAUGGCCGUCGCCAGUUCGUGCCGUGAGGUGUCCGGUUAAGUCCGGCAACGAACAAGACCCCCACGUUUAGUUGCUACUCGAUUCCAGUAGGAAUCGAGGCACACUAAACGGACUGCCGCCGCUAAGGCGGAGGAAGGAGGGGGCCACGGCAGGUCCGUAUGCCCCGAAACCCCCGGGCCACACGCGGGCUGCAAUGGCGGAGACAAUGGGUUCCGACCCCGAAAGGGGGAGGUAAUCCUGCAAACUCCGCCUCAGUUGGGAUCGAGGGCUGCAACUCGCCCUCGUGAACAUGGAAUCCCUAGUAACCGCGCGUCACCAACGCGCGGUGAAUACGUCCCUGCUCCUUGCACACACCGCCCGUCGCUCCACCCGAGUCGGGUUUAGGUGAGCUCUAGCCUGUAAGAGGUUGGAGCGAACCUAAGCUCGAUGAGGAGGGAGAAGUCGUAACAAGGUAGCCGUA
rnacentral:rRNA from 1 species